CCUCCUUAAGGUACCAUUCAGUUAAAAUUUCCUUUAAAAAAGAGGUACUACACUUGACAAUCAAAAGCAACAUUUCUGAUAGACAAGUUGUUACACAGAAACAAAAAAAAAAAUAAAAAUAUUAUUGUGAAAAUAAUCCUAACCCUAAUAAUUAAAAUAAUUAUUAUAAUUGUUGUUGUUGCCUUAUCCAUGAGAUUUGUGACUGUUUUAAACAAGUUAACAGUCGAGGAUCACAAGAUACUGACUUGAGGCUUAAUGUGAGAAAAAAUAUUUAUAAAUAUUGUUGUAGAACCAACACAUUCCUUUUUCCGCCCAUAAUCUAAAAUUAAAAAGUGAAUUUUAAUUAUAUUUAAUUUUGAACAUUUUUUUUUUUUUAUAUUCACUGAUAAAUAUUAAAAUUCCCUUACCUUCCCAAAUUUCUCACUUACAACAGUGACCCACUCAUCGUGCGAAGUAUGCCCGUCUUUUUUUUUGACCACGAAAAUUGUUGUACUAUUUCCUGGCUCAUGCAAUACUUUAAGUUUGACAUGCCUGCACACGCAUAUACACGUAUACAUUCAAAUAUUUUAGAUUCUCAGUGGAGCGAAAAAACUUAUGGUUUUACUAAGAUGUUUAUAUAUUUUUUUUUUGUUGCGGACAACUUUUCUACAAGAGAACUUGCUCCGAUUUUUACGUUUAGCACCUUUUCUAAAAGGAAAUCGGUGUGGAGAGAUACUUAAAGGAAGUCAUUUUUCGAUUUUCUCAAGAGUUUUUUCAACAAAUUUGAAAAACCAAAAAAAAAACAAGGAAAAAGUAUGAAAAACGGGAAAAUUGAUAUAUUAAAAAAUUAUUAUUAAAAAUAAUAUAUAAUGCCUCUUUUAUUAUUUUACCAUAAUAUAACAUAUAUAUAUAUUGCUAACAAAGCAUCACUACCAAAUUAACUCUGUUCAGAAUCGUUUUUUCGUUAGCAAUGGUUAAUCAUUGCUAACAAAUAUACAUUAAAUUACCUAUAACAGUGGCUGCACCCGUCCCCAUUAUCCUAGGACGUUUUUUAUUCUUGGAAACACGUUAGAAUGAAACAUUAGAAUGCUUGGAGUUAAGUAUGACCGGAAUAGCAUUUUACAUUAUAGUGAUUUUUAUGAAAAGUCUUUAUAUUAUGUAAUGACA